rnacentral:other from 1 species
GUUCGCUGCCGCGGAGGCAGCUUAGAAA